rnacentral:tRNA from 1 species
CGGGGCGUAGCGCAGUUUGGUAGCGCGCUUGGUUCGGGACCAAGAGGCCGUGGGUUCAAGUCCCGCCGCCCCGACCA